GUCUUCGUGGUGUAGUGGUCAGCACACUUGGCGUGUAACCGAGAGGUCCGUGGUUCGAUUCCCAGCGAGGGCA
rnacentral:tRNA from 1 species